AUCCUUUUCCUUCUCCUGGGGAGUGCCCUUCCUUCAGCUUCCAGCCUCCUCACAGUCAGGUGUGGCCACAGAAGGUGGGAGCUCCAGGCCGGGGGUAGGGAGUGACGUUUGCCACGCCCGGAGCUGGUCCUUUCUGCUUUCUGUGCGGAAGUCUCCGCUGUGCCUUCUCCUUGGGUCUGCUGGCCAGGCAAAGGAGGAACUGUUGAACGGAUGCAUUGCAGCCAGCAGCGGCCUCUCACAAAACAGUGAGUCAGUGUCAGCAAGUGAAACUGACAAAGCAUCUGGAUGAGAGACUGAGUCACAUGCCUUGUUUUCCACAGAGUGCUUGGUGCAUCUGGAUGUUAGACCCUGCUAAGACCUCCACAAGUUUGACUAUGAUGUAUUUUCCUGAUGCAAGAAUAUAGACAUUUUCACAAAGGGAAAAUGUAGUACAACAGAAAGGUUAGAAAUUCUUUGUUAAAAGUCAUCAGCUUGCAACAUU
ensembl:lncRNA